GACGAACGCUGGCGGCGUGCUUAACACAUGCAAGUCGAACGGAAAGGCCCUGCUUUUGCGGGGUGCUCGAGUGGCGAACGGGUGAGUAACACGCGAGUAACCUGCCCUUGACUUUGGGAUAACUUCAGGAAACUGGGGCUAAUACCGGAUAGGAGCUCCUGCUGCAAGGUGGGGGUUGGAAAGUUUCGGCGGUAGGGGAUGGACUCGAGGCUUAUGAGCUUGUUGGUGGGGUAGUGGCUUACCAAGGCUUCGACGGGUAGACGGCCUGGGAGGGCGCCCGGCGGCUGUGGGACUGCGUUACGACCCAGUCUCCGACGGGAAGCAGCAGUCGAAAAAGUUACGUAUUAAGGGGGAGCCUGAUACAGCGACGCCGGGUGCGGGAAGGCGGCCUUCUAGUUGUAAACCGCUUUCGCCUGUGACGAAGCCUGUGUGACGGUAAUGUGUAAAGAAGCACCGGCUAACUACGUG
rnacentral:rRNA from 1 species